rnacentral:rRNA from 1 species
AUGAAAGUUUUGUCUCCAUCCCGCCGGGGAUGCUCCUUCAUCAUGCCGGACGAGAUUGAUUACAACGAGUUCUCACUCUUCUUCUCAAUUGAAGAAGCUCUAGAACCUGAUUACUUGCUCAACCAGCUCAGACAGAUGCCCAAAGAGAAGUGGGUUGAGAUGUGGUCAAAGCUGAAAAACAUCUCUAGCCACUAUGAAUUCCAGUAUCCCCCCAUGAAGGAUGAUGCCGUGAACAUGAUAUGGCACAGAAGACUGCCUAUGCUCGUCUGCGAGAAGGGCCCACCUUCAAGCUCUCAUGUAUUGUAA